CAGUCGCCGCGGGAAUACGAAGGGGGCUAGCGUUGCUCGGAAUGACUGGGCGUAAAGGGCGCGUAGGCGGUUUUGACAGUCAGAUGUGAAAUUCCUGGGCUUAACCUGGGGGCUGCAUUUGAGACGUCAAGACUAGAGUGUGAGAGAGGGUUGUGGAAUUCCCAGUGUAGAGGUGAAAUUCGUAGAUAUUGGGAAGAACACCGGUGGCGAAGGCGGCAACCUGGCUCAUUACUGACGCUGAGGCGCGAAAGCGUGGGGAGCAAACAGGAUUAGAUACCCCCGUAGUCCCUGUCUCUUAUAA
rnacentral:rRNA from 1 species